UAGCAUUUGCACCAUUUUAAAGCAUCCAGUUCAAUGACAUUUAGUAAAUUCACACUGUUGUGCACCCCUCACCAUCCAUCCAUCUCCAGAACUUUUUCAUCUUCCCAACUGCAUCUCUGCACCCGGUAAACACGGAAGCCCCGUCCAUCCCCCCUCCCCCAGCCCCUGGCAACUCCCGGUCCAGUUUCGGUCUCUAUGCAUUUGCCUAUCCUCGGUUAGAAAGUGAGUUCUUCAAAGGGACUGUUUACAAAGGUGUGUGUAGGGAUUGGGAAAAGCCACCAGCAGUGGCCUGGGGCUGAUAACUCCAGCCAAGGUUCCCUCUCCUCGAGGCCAAGGCUGGGGGGCUCCCGCGGGGCUCAGGAUGGGCCCGGAGGGAGGGUGUGGAGGACCACUGGGAGACUGUGAGCUUCUAGAAAGCCCAGGGCAAGGUCCAAGCUGUUUAGAAAGACACUAAAAGAAACUGCAGAAGCAGCGACCCAGUCAAAACGCUCUUAUGGCCAUUUGUAUGUAUAUUGUAGGACAUCCACGACGGGGGAGGGUGGAAUGGGGUCCCAUUUCCUGUCCCUUGCUCCCUGGCCACUCGUCUCCCUCAGGGAUUUGCUUGCAAAUUGGUUUUGCUUCGUGGCAGGUGAUGAGCAGGAGGAGCAGGGCUCCCCUGCCUCCUGGUCUGCUUUCACAAGCUCAGCCUUGCCAGCUUCUGCCGCCCGCCUGUCCGUCCUCCACCCUCCAGAGAUGCAGCGUAACUGGAUGCUGGAGAAAGAACCCCCAGAGUAGAGGAGGCCCCGCACAUCCAUCGGAGAGUCCCCCUCACUUUCUGACACCCCGUGGCCCGGUGCCUUCCUGCAUCCCUGAGAGAAGUUCAAGGAGGAGAGAAGUCCAAUGACUUAUCAAAGGUGGCGGAGCUGUCUAUCGCAGAGACUUGAGUAGAGGCAGACCUGUCUCCAAAGCGCUUUUCAACCAAUUCUUUCCAACCAGUUCAGGACGCGGAUCACAGUCAGUGUUUGAGUGCACAGUGGACAACCGUCUACAUGAUAUGCUGUAGGUCAUCAACUGAUCAGAACGUCGUGGUGAUGCUGCUUUUACACAUCUCAUGUCAGUGAACUUAAGUUUUUUAAGACUGACAGUGUGAUCUCAAGACAUACUGAAGACUAACGGUGUUUUAGGUGGAUUUCUGCUUUGGAUAAACACGCAGUGCCCCUCCGCUCUCCGUGAACUGCACUGCAUAUUGCUGGAAGUUAAACAGCUUUUCUUGAAAGUUCGCUGGAAGCUUUUGACAGAGACGUACCCCUCCCAGGGAAGUCGCUUCCCAUGGCUGGGAUGAGGACGUGGUAUGCGCAGACGAGUUCUGGCCGUGGAGGGAUGGCGGAGCAACAAAACAGAAGGAACCCGGGUCCCUGGAUGACCUUGGAGAGCACAGCUGUCCCGUUCACCCGGGGUCACAUGCCUAUCUCCAAACCAUUGCCCGAAGAGACACGAACUUCUGUUCUGUUUGAACCACUGUCUUGUGGGCUGUCUUCCCUAGAGCCUUUGAUUUAGUCUGAAGCCUACAGAGAGCAUCAGGGAACGCCUGUCCUGCUCCGUGGGCCCUGAAGCUCUGGCUGCCCAGUGCUCCCUGCUG